rnacentral:lncRNA from 1 species
UGUGUAUCCAGUGGUUUAUAUAUCCUUAAAUUUAUAAGAAAUAACAGAAAAACCCCUAACUAUUGUAUCAUAUUAGUGGCAGCAGUGCUAUAUUCUUAUUCUGAGAAUGUUGUGCAUUAGCGUGGAAUAAAAGAAAUGAGCAAUUUAGUUGGGUUCUUUUGGUAUCUGAGACUUAGCUCUAUUUUAUCUUUCAUUAUAUAUUUUACAGAUUAAAAGAGAUUUAAAGAUAUCAUUUAGUCUCAUAUAUAGGACUCAUCUGGAACUAAAUUUAAAUAAAUGGAAAAAUACAUAUUUAUAAUUAUGCAAUGGGGGAAACAGACUAACUGGUAUUUGAUUUUAAGUAAUUACUGUUAAUAUUUAGAUGUGAUUUUUUUAAUAUCUUCAUUUUAUUUAUUUAUUUUCAUGUGGUGCUGAGGCUCCAACCCAGUGCCUCAUAUGUAUGAGACAAGUGCUCUACCACUGAGCCACAAUCCCAGCCCCUUUAGAUGUGAUUAUUAUUAUUAUACUUCUGCAAAAAUUUCUUCAUGCUGAAAUAUUUACAGAUGAAAUAAUAUGCUGCCUGGAAUUUGCUUCAGAAUAAUCUGUGGAGUUGGCUACUGUGAGUGGAUGUUUACUAGGGAUUAGGAAUAAUAAGAUUUUCCUUAAAUUGAUAAAUUGUUGAAGCUGAGUAUUACAGUGGGGUUUUUCCUACUUUCUUGAGGUUUUCUAUGAUAAACUAUUUUAAGGUUAAAAAAUUACGAAGUUAGACAAUGUAUAAAUGGCAAGGUAAGAUAACUGGUAUUAACAUUACAUAACCCUUAUAUUAUGCUUCUAACCUAUUAUAAUGUUUGGUGGGGAAUGGGCAUUUAAUUUUCUAGGAAGUACACAUCUGCCACGUGACCAGCAUGCGAGCUUCAUAAAAGAGGUUCAAAGCAUAAAAAUUAACUAGUGAGUUUUAAAAUUAAAGAGACAUAUUCUCAUUACCUUUAAUGCCCAGCUCCGGAGACGGCUUCUCCUAGCUCCCGCCUCCAGCCACCUAAUGCGGUGGCAAGGUUAACACAAGAGGCUAGCGAGAGAGAGAACACGCCAGGGAGUGAGCUUUUAUUGGGGAACAAAAAUUCAAGGGAAAAUUCCAUCCAAUGAAGGUCGAUGGGGGCAGCAUUCCAAGGUCAGGGUCAGUGAUUGGUCUUCAGGUCAGUGGCCAGGCACACCUCCACAUGGACAAGCCCUCGAACCUGGGACAGGGUGGGGAAGGCUCUGACACAGUUGUCUAAGCGCCUCUCACCCAGCCAGGGAGAUAACUCAAAUCACGUGCGAGAAUGGCUUCCCAUAUACACCUAUAGUGAUCUUAGAGUGGGCAUGAGAAACAAAAUAGAUUGUAUAUCAAAAGGAAGGUUGAAUAGUACUACAAAUUCUCGAAAAGGCACCUCACUACAGUGGGGGGAAAGAUAAUUAUGACUUUAUAUAAAUGGCAGUAAGCAUUGAUAGAGGUAUAUGGAUGGAUGGUUAGGUAUCUAUAAAUUUUUUUUCAUGUGCUUUAUUUUAUUAAAUAAAGCUUAGUUCAAUCUAUCUUUAGUUUUGAAUUUUUUUCUUUUAUUUUUUUUCGUCUCUAAGUGGUGAAGAGCACACAUUAUCUUGUUAGUGAUGCGGGAAAAAUGAAUCCAGCAAUACAUGGUCAGAACUAUUAUGUAAUGUGAACACAAGUGAUUACAAUAAAUCUUUUUACUAUUUUACUUAUUUUAUUUUAUGGUUUUGGGGAUUGAACCCAGGUUCACUUAACCACUGAACCACACCCCCUUUUUAUUUUUCAUUUUGAGACAGUACCUCACUAAGUUGCUUAGGUCCUUGAUUAGUUGCUAAGGCUGGCUUUGAAAUUGUGAUCCUCCUUGUUAAGCAAGAUGUUAAUUAUUCUGUGUUCAG